CACGGGACGCUAGUUAACACAAGCUACACUCGACAGCAGUGGUUCCUGGUGAGCGUGGGGUUUGUGUUUUCAUUUCCGAGCAUUGAAAGUCACGACGCACAACUGAGACCAAGAGUGACCUCAUAGCCAGGAAUUCUGGGAAUUUCUUGUAUUUAAGAUAUACAAAUAACAACAAACAGAGAGAGAGGUGAAAAACGAAAGGAGGCCCUCUGACCAGAGAGCUGACCUCAGAGAGGAAGUAGUUUCCAGCUGUUUUCCUCCAUCAGAGAAACACUGUAACCUGACUCAUUCAGAAACAUGGAAGCAUCCCUCUGUUGACUUUUGACCUACAGUAAUCCCUCUUUCCAACAGAAUAAAUGUAAAAAUGGG